CAAUUUCUGUCGACCCACACGCACCUUCUCCCCCAAAAUUUUCACUCAGCGGCGUCAAAAAUUUCACCCUCUCAAAUCCGCCGCCACCACCUGUUUCAAAAAAAAAAAAUCCUAAUUCACCUCCACAGAUCGACUCUCAAAUCCCCUCUCCCUCGUGCCGCUGCUCCAGAGAUCAACGUCUCUCAAAUCCGCUCUCUCUCGUGCCGCUGCUCUAGAGAUCGACUCUCAAAUCUGCAUCACUCUCGUGCCGCUGCUCCUCCGGUCGCUCCUCCGCUUGUAGAUCCUCUUGAAGCUAUAUUCGCCUAGCUCCUCCGGUACGUCCUCUCAGAUCCGCUUGCAGACCCUCUUGAAGCUAUCUCCACAGUCGUCGAAUCCUCAGCUCCAUCCCCCGCGACCAUCAAAUCCAACCAUCUCCGGCGAUCUUCCUACUUAGCCAUCAUCAUCCAUCAACAAGAGGAACUCCAAACCCUUGAUUACACAAGGAUGAAAUACGUGCAGUGCAUAGUAAUUGGAAUGAGGCACAUGUUGAAACACAUCAAAGGACAAGAAGAAGGCGGCAAGACGUAAUGCGCAGAAUCGGAUGUCAAAUUUGCAUGGUAGAGCAACCUAUACAGGUGACUCGAGGAACAUGUGUCGGGCUAUGGAACAAUUGGUAAAUUUGCUUCUUACAACUAAUUAAAAUUCAGACUAUAUAAUUCUUAAAUGUUUUGAUCGAUUAUACAACAUAUUUUUGGUGAAUUGCAAAAAUGUCAAAUCAUUGAGGAUGGUGGCACAACUACAAUGUUGAAACUAUAUUUGGGUACCCACUCGUCAUCAGUAGAUAAGAUCACCAGAGAGUAUACAUAUCCGGACAACAGGACUAAGGAGUAUUGUGAGCGGGUCAUCGAAAAGGUAACCUCAUCAGGGGUCGAUUCAACCCCAGAGGAUAAUACACUUUCUUUCACCCAGAUGUUAGAUUCCCUGCACGGAGGGCAUCACGGUGGUUAUGAAAGAGCCAUGGACAUUGGUGUCACUCGGUAUUAUUUGAGGGUGUCUAACAUAACAGAAAUUGACACUUCUAAUCAGGAGCUACAUCGCGAGGUUGCUCAUCUUAGAGCUCGGGUACCUGAGAUGGAUAGUCUCAGAGAUCGGGUAGCUGAGAUGGAUAGUCUCAGGUAGGAGCUUAGGUCUCAGAUGCAUUGGAUUAAUAACAAUAUGGUUAAUUCUCAGGGCGAUUGUCCUGCUCGCACUCCUAAUGAUCCAUCAUCUUUUACUCGUCCUGCUCUAAUUCCUCAGCCCGCAGCCUAUAUACAACAUUCUGCUCGUCCUGCUUCGACUACUAACACUUCUACUUCCAGUUCUCAAGGUUUAUCACAGGAGAAUCUUGUUAGGAUAUUUGCAGAUUGAGGCGUUUGGGUUUGUCUCAGGAGGACAUUCUUCGAGGAAUUUCUUCUGUUCCUUUACUGGAUAUAUUAUGUUGGACAUUUUGGAUAUUAGAGACAAAUAUAUAAUAUUAGAUGUUUUUCAUUGUGAGAGAUUGGAAAUAAUCAUUGUGUAUGUUUAUGUUUAUCUCUAAUAUUGUAUAUUAAGUAAACAUUGUAUAUGAAUAUAUAACAAUGGAUAUUUAGUAAAGUUUGAGAA